UAAAAAAGUGUCUGUGUUUGUGUUCCUUCUCUCUCCUUUUUCCAUUCCAUCGCUGCUUCUGCUUCUGCUCUCCUUGUUUCGCUUUGGAGGGCAUGACGAUGCCCUAAUCACCUUCGAAUGCGAUCGCAGCGUGCGAAGGUGUGUGAUGUCUCCAACUCUCCAUCGUUGAUGGAUUCCUCUUCUUUGCUGUACGUCUCUUCGCUCUCUGUAACGAUGGUGUAGCGGCUUGGAUGGCCUGCUCCUCGGCAGGCAACCGCUGCUCCCGUCCUCCUAGAGGGAAGGGUUGGUGUGGUGUGGUAGAAGAGGAGGGGUCUUUGUGGUAUCAUGGAUUAAUGGCGAAUCCGAGCCUCUUCUCUGUGUUUCUAUAAGGUUGCUCAAGCUCGGCUCAUUCAGAGCCCUAACUGUUUCUCUGCUACUACUACUAGUACUACUGCCAUUGAUGAUGACGCAAUGCUGCGCUCUUGUGUUCUCUUGGCUGUGAUGAUUUGCCCUAGAAGAGUCGAGAGAUCGAGUGGCGUGGCAGCCACUUCUGCAGCCCUUGAUUCAAUUUUUAUCUCUGAUAAAAAAAAAGGUCAGAUCUGAGCCUCCUCCUCCUCCUCCUCUCUCUCUCUCUAUAUAUAUAUAUAUAUAUAUAUAUAUAUAUAUAUAUACUCUCUCCGUUCCUUUUUACGCUCUCCGGUCUUCUUUAGUUGAGAACUUUUCGUGGAGGGAGUGUAUGAUAAAUGAGGAGCGAGCGAGGAACCUCAACCAUUAAGUUGGGACGGGUUUGAACUCGCGACCUUUGAACUCUCUGCUACUACUACUAUUACUACUAGCAUGAUGGUGAUGAUGAAGAUGAUGAUGAUGAUGAUGACUAUGAUGCUUGUUAAUGGCAAUGCUGCACUCUUGUCUUCGCGUGGCUGUGAUGAUUUGACAUAGAAGGGCCUCAAGAUCGAGUGGCGUGGCAGCUAUUGCUGCAGCCCUUGAUUCAGUGUUUAUCUUUGAUUAAAAAAAAAGGUCAGAUCUUAGCCUCUUGCCUCUUGGCUCCUCAGAAAAUGAUGAAGGUAAAGAAAAGAAGGCAAUGCUAUCAAAAUAAAUAAAUAAAUAAAUAAAUAAAUAUAAAUAAAUAAAUAAAAUCAUCCAAGGUCCAAAUUUCAAUUAUGUGUGUGUGUGUGUGUGUGGCCUGUGAUGUGUUUGGCCACUGGAAACAGCUCCUUGGCUGCUAUGAAUCGGAAGAAUGAGAUAUAAAGUCCUCUCGCAUGCUUUAUUUUCUUGCAUUGUUUCAGAAUUGUUCUUGUUUUGAAAGCGUGUUAAGACCACAUUCACAUUCAAAUGAUGGUAAUUUUUCCCUUGCCAAGUGAGAGGUUGAAAGAUCAACUCCCUCUCACAAUAUUGGUUGAAGUGAGCGGCUUGUCAAUCUCAUAAAAAAAAAAAGAAAGAAAAGUGUGAAGUUUGUUCAUAAAGAGCCCCAGGAUCAAAUGGCAAGGUCGUUUUGGUGGUUAUUGCUGCAGCCAUUCAUUGAUUCUGCAUUCUCUUUGAUGAAAAGGUUAGAUCGGUGUUGCUUUUUUCUUUGAGGAAAUUAACAAUGACUCUGAUAAUAUUCAAUUUCUAAAGAAAGCAUGGGGUUUAGUUUGUCCUUUUUUUAUUGAUUUGUGGUCUCUCAAUUCUAUUUUGUCAUUAGAGGCAGUGAUGAUUCACCCUUGAAUUCCUGUGUUCAAAUGGUAUGGCACCUUUGUUGUGGUAUUUAAUAAUUUUGCUUCAUUAAAUUUGGUACUUAUUGAAAUGAAUAUAUAAGUCUGUGUCUCUAGCACUGUCAGCUUAAGCUAUUGUGUUGAAUUGGGAUGUACAUUUGGUUGAACUGAGUUCUGUGGGUUUUGGCCUUGGCUAUGCAUGUGUUUGGAUCAUGGAAACAAGAAUUGAUAAAGAAAUGGCUGGGCUGAUCACUGCAGCAGCCAUAUUUGGUUCUUAUUUUGUAUUAAUGUGAUGAAAAGGGUGGAUCUGAGCCUUGGCUUUCUUCUUUAUAGUAAAUGUAAGCAUGGCAAAUAAGUGAUGUGUUUGGAUUAGUUGAAAGUAGGUAAAAAAAUGAAGAGUGUUAUUUCAUAAAUCUCCAUGAAAUCUUCAGUAGUGAUGAUUUUCUGACCUUUAAUAAUUGCACAUAUCUUAUUUAUCUUCUCCUCUGCUAGGUGACUUUUUAGGGAGAAAAUUGUAUUCCUAAAUUAGUGAAAGUAGAUUAAUUUUUCGCCUUCACGAUGCUCUGUCAUAAGUGAAAGGAUAGAUAAACCAAGCUUAGACAUCAUAUUGUAAAUUUUCUACCAAACACAUUUUUAAGUUCGUCUAUUUCUUGUCUAUAACUCUCCCCUUGAAGAGCUUCCAUUUUUCUUCUUAGGCAUCUGCCUUAUUUGUAAAGACAUGUCCGGGCCAUCUUAAUCAGUUUUUUCUUACUUAGUAAUAGUUGUCACUCUUAUUUUAUUUUGGAUAAAUUCAUUUAUUAAUUAGUUCUUCCUACUUACACAUGACCCCCAUCUCAACAUUCUCAUUUCAGUCAUGCCCAUUCUUUAUGUAUAAUAUUUUUUAACCACCCAACAUUUAGGCGCUUAGAUCAUACUUGGCCUAACAACUAUUCUAUAAAACUUUCAAUCUAAGGGGUAUUCUAUGUCCACAUAAAACUUAGUUACCUGUUAUCUUAGAUUAGAGAGCUUAGGUAUUAAAAUUUUUUUGUCUCUACCAAUCUUAGUGUCAUCCUUUUGGUUUAGAAAAAUAAGAUAAUAUUAAGUUUGAUUUCAGCUCUUGGGUCACACACGCAUAUAUGUCUUUGGAAAAAUGAAAUUACAUAAUAACCUCAUAAAAUUUCUUGUCUCAUGACAAAUAUCAUGCACAUUGUGUUGGAGGAGAGUACUAUAGGUGGUGAUUUGACCUCAAAGAGUGUUGGGUUUAGAUGGCAGGGCAGCUAAGGUUAGGGGUGAUUCUCCAUGCCGCUUCUGCAGCCAUCCCUAAUACUUGUUUCAGCGUUGUGUUUGAUUCAAGGUCAGAUCUGAGCUUGACUUUUGAAGUUGUUGAUGUUGUUGUUAUUAUUUUUGUUAUUGCUGCUGCUGCUGCCGCCUGCCGGUCUUCUUUGCUGACUGUGACGUCAUUGUGUCGUAAGUUAGUGGGUGCCUUUGCCGUUUCAAGUUGCAAAAGGGAACACUUUCCUUCUCUUAUUCUAUGUGCAGAUUCUUCCUAAUAGUUUGUUUGCACAUGGAUUGUAUUCAUGCAUGUUUGUGCACAUGCAGGCGGGCUUUUUUUCCCCCAAGAUGUUCCUUUUUUUUGUUAUAUUUAUGCCGUGGAGUGGUGCAACUGCCAAGUGCCACUUGUCAGCUGUUUGUUAUUUCACUACUACUGGAAAUAACAGUUGGAAGGUGCAGUCGACAUUCUUUGUCAUUCUUUCUGGAUUGAAUGAAUCAUAUUCUAUUGUUGUAGAAGCCUUCUAUAGAACUUAAAUAUGUUUAAAUCCUUGUGUCCUAGAGGCUGUGAUGAACAACCCUAUGCCAACUAUGGCGGGGCAGGUUGUGUUGACCUGCAGCCAUAUGUUGCUAAGAGAUUUCAGUAUGUUGGCUCUUCAUUUUCUUUUUCUUCUUGUUCUUCUUGUUCUUGUUCUUCUUCUUAUUAUUAUUUUCUAUCCUUUGUGAUAAUGACCAAUGUGUGACUGAUAUUGAAGGGUGGUUCUGAGCCUUACAAUUCCUUCCAUAUUUACAUCUUCUAAAGUUAAGAUUAUUUUUUGGUGUGAUGAAUCUUGUUUUUGAUAAGAAUUAGUUAAGGAAUUCGUAAGGUAAGAGCACAGGUUUAUGUUGAGCUUGCGGUUGCGCUCCACGCCUGUGCAUGCACUUGAAUUAGUUAAAUGGGGGCUUGUCACCAAUUUGUCAGGAAAAAAAAAAAAAUUCUGCAAGCCCUCGGUCACUGUCACAUGCAUACUGGAGAACACAGUCACAUUAGAGGCGAUGAAGAUAUGCUAAGCACCACCGCAUGUAAUUUUUGCAUGUUUGGAGGUCAUUGAUGCUUUACUGACCACACCUCUUGACCAACUUGGCCUCUCUGUUAUUUAAAUGGCCCAACAGCUUGGAUGGCCAGCUACCUAGCUGGGAACCGCUGCAACCUUUACGUACCUGAGAUGCAGUGCAUUGGUUGGCUAUGGUAAUUGGUUGGAAUCAGGUGACUUGCAGAAGGCGAAUCUGAGCCUUGUUUUAUUUUUGUUGCAAGUAUAUGUGACUUAUAUUUUUCCAAAAGAGGCACUGGGUUUUCUUGUUUAUUUCAAAAUAUAUUGGCAAGAUUUAAUUGUGGAUGUUUUUUGACGCAUUACCCUUUUUUUUUUGGGAACUUGUUUGAGCCAUUUUUCCCCCUCUAUUUUUAGUGUUUGUGAAAUUUGUCAGAAUUGCAUGCUGCCCUUGGUAAUUAUGAAAGUUAAGCCAUAAGGCUAAUGAUUGUAUUAACAAGGUUUGAUGUAAUGUUUUAACCAUACACAAUUUGUUGUGCAGAUUACUAAAAAGUUUGUAUAGUAGACCUUGACUUAUACAUUCAUAUUCAUAUUUAAUGACUUAGCCAAUUUGGGACCCUUAGUUGCUAUAUUGUAUAGGAAACCUUGAUUUAUACAUUCAUAUUCAUAUUUACUUCGCAUGUAAAUCUAGUUUGAAAUGAUCAACAUGGCCCCCAUCAAUGGCUUUGUUUGUUUGAUGCUCUGAUUUUCUCUCUGAUUUAUUGGUUGGUUCAGAUAUUCUUCUUAAAAUGACGGGAAUGAUAAAGCAGUCUGGAUGGUCAGCUGCUAAGCCAGCUGCAGUCUGCUGGCAACCACUGCAUCAUUAUAUUAUUGCAGAUGUAUUGGUUGGUUAUUCUCGCUGGAUGACUUUUGUGCCUGGAAGAGGCAUGUUGGUUAAGGAGGCCUAAACUAUAAUUCCGUCGUUCUUUUGAAAUAGCUGCAAACUGUGGGUUAGUUUUUAUUUGCUAAAAAAAAUUGGCUUUGAAGUGUGGGGCAAAACAGUUUUGUUCUUUCCAUGUGGGUUAAAACAUUGCCUUCAUGCCGGCAAUGAUGAUAUGAAUCACCUUGUGAUCUUUGUGUGGUUGAAGGUGUAGCCACUAGCUAUGUAUACAUCAUUUCUCUGCUGAUGGUAAUUGCAAGCUUGCUUGGAUUGCCAGCUACCUUGCUGGCGACCUAUGGAACUAUUCCAUUUCAAGUGCUGACUGCUGGUGAAUUUGUGGAGCUAUGGUGUUUGGUUGAAAUUUCAUGACCAAACGGAAGGUUCCGAUCUUGUGACGAUGAAGCAAUAGAUGUUGUAGUUCCUUUUUCAUCCUGGAAGCUUGUCUAAUGUCCUCGAUUUGCUCCUUCUCUCUAAUCCUCACCGUCUCCACCGGUGAGGUUUGCUACUUCUUAUCUUUUUCCUAUUUCUUGUUAAGAUAAGUAGGCCCUAAGUUGAUUAAGGCAUGAUCUCUUCUAAUUUGAUUUUUAUCAUUUACUAUAUAUCACAUGUAUUCUGAUGAGCUUUAUAUUUUUCCCCGGGUGUUUUUUCUUUUUUGGAAGAGUUGUUUUUCACCAAGGUGACUUAUUUUGUUUUUCACCAAGUCGUAUGUGUCCUUAUUAAUUAUCAUGCUCUCUAUGGCGAGGCAUAUGAAUGGCCUGAUAUUAUGAAGGCAACCUAUGCUGCUUUUUAUUUUUAUUUUGACUAAUGCAAUGCGGGUGUAUGUACCGUUUGCACUGUGAUCUCGAAAGAUGGCGAGGCAAGUGUUUGCAGCCAUUGGAGUAUGUUCAGCUUGUUAGCUGUAUUUAGUUGGUGAUUCUGAGCCUCCAUUAUAUCACCUAUUAAUUAUUGUUUUUCAAUCAAAAGUCCUAUGUUUACCAACAGCUUGGACGCCAAAAUUAUUGUGUCAAUUCUUGAGCUGAGGAUAGGAUAAUCAGCAGAAGUCAACGAUGAUAAUGCUACACUUUUGGAUUUAUUGGCUGAACAGUAAGGAUAAAGAAUUGAUUAAGCUACAUGUUAGGUGUCUUUCUGAGCAAUAAUUAAUUUAUAUGUUAAGCAUAUCUUAAGAUAAAAAAUCUAUUAGCACAUGUAAAUUUCCAUUAUGGUGAGAGCUCUAAAUAAUUCGAUUUUCAUUAUAAAUCUAUCAGCACAAGGAAAUUUUAGCAAUUAAAAAUUAUAAGUUUGAGUUUGGAGGCUGUUAUACUUACGUUACCUUUUCUCAGCUGGCUUUACAAAUAAUGCAAAGGAGAUGAUCUCGUUCAAUUUUAUUUAUUUAUUUAUUUGUGGGAAUUGCUUCUAUGCCCUAUGAAAGUGGGUGGUUGCUAUUAUAGCCUCGCAAAAACCAGUCCUUCAAAUGGCGAGCAGAUGGAUGGUCUGCUAUUCAGCGGGCAACCUAUUAAAGCAGAUGGAAGGCGUGUUAUUUUCGCAACUUCUGCAGCCAUUCUUCCAGCAUUCGAAUAAUUUGCCUAUUGUGGUGUUUUUCACAUAUAUACCCGCCCAAGAUAUAUUACUAUGCCAAGGCAGACAGACAGUCUGCGACACAAGCUGAAGUCAGAGGUGUGCUGAGAUGGAUGGUCUACUAUUGUGCGAGCAGCCUUUGCUGUUGGUCCACUGGGAGAGAUUCUUUUUUAAAGUUGGUAUUUCCAUUGAUGUGGAAAAUUGAUAGGCUAUUCCUCUGUGGGCAAGUUCUGCAGCCAUCCUGUGACAAGUAGAAUAUUUUUGAGGUGUGUUUGCUGAAGAAUAAACCUAGCAUACAUGGCUUCGUUCCUGCAUUGCUCUCUCUUUACUUUCUAGAGGCUGUGAUGACUGUGCCCAGGGAUUUAUGGUUAUUUUCUGGGUGCCCUCAAUCAAUUCUUGUGAUUUUGUUUAAGGGUUUAGAAUUUAGGGUUUUUAAAGCUGCAUUCAAGCACUUAUAUUGCUGUCACAUAAGUGUGUUGUUGCUGGUCUCCUUCAUGGCGGGGCAUCUAUUUGCAGCCAUUGGAGUUUGAAUGGCAGAAUUGCUGAAGUCUAAUGAGGGUUGUUCUGAGCCUCUAGUUUGUUUGUGGCAAUUUCUAUCACAGAGAUUUUGAGAUAACAUGUUCUAUUGUUGUAGAAGUCUUCUAUGUGGCUGAUUGGCAUCAUGGAAUUCUUGUUAUUCUGGUCUUCUACGAGCUUUUUGGUUGUUUUCUGGGAGACUAAAUUAUUUUACGCAAAAUUUAUUUUGUUCCUUAGAGCUAAUUGAGCUUUCUCUGUGGGCAGCAUGCAAAUAAACUAUUGGUAGUUAGGUAAUCUGUUAUGGAUGUUGAUCCUUCCAUUCAAAGCCUUUAUAAUGCUAGGUAUCCUUUGGCAAAUAUAUCUGUGAUAUUAAUUACAACAUGAUUUUUGUGCUAACUUCUUGGUUACAUGAAUUUUUUCCUUCCACCUCAUUCUAUCAGGAGCCAAAAAUCAGAUCGACCAAGAUUAGACAUAUCAUUCUAUAUAUUCAUGAACCAAAUCCUGCUUCAAUCAACUGCUUUGUAGCAAUGGACGUGGCAGGUUGUGAUCCUGCAGCCAUUUUGAGAUGAGUUUUAUAGGGGUAUAUAUCUAUACAUGCAAAUGGAAAUUUUGUUGGGUGUAUGCAUAUUUAACUGAUAGCAUCAUGCAUGUCUAUAAUUUUGCCUCAAGUGAAUAGCAAUUCAAGGCUGGUACAUGUGUUCCAUUUGCAUCCAUUCCAUUGUUCUGAACAUGACUUUUGUGUUCCUUCAUUUUUAUCUUUCUUGUGUCCAUUCAUGUCUCAAGAGGCUGUGAUGAUUUCCCCUGAAACCAACUUGUGCUUGGAUCGAAGGAAAAGAGAAAGUUGAUUAGUUUUUUACUUUGCACUCCCUGAAAAAGAGUGAAAUUACCAAACAGCUCCUCAGUUUGCAGAAAUAUGAAAAACCUGAAAUUGGAAUGGGAUGGAUGGCGAGGCAACAUGGAAAGGCUGGCUAGAUUUUGCUGGCUACCAUCUGCAGCCAUUAUCAUUUUCCUAAUAGCAGGGUGAAACUGAGCCUCUUUCUGGUUUCCGUUUUGAAUUCUGCAUUGACCUAUCAGGCCAACCAGGAGGAUCUUUGGGUUAGCACAGGUUUUGGCCAUGUUUCAACCAUGAGAGAAAAUUCAGGCAAG